rfam:Aedes albopictus isolate Foshan contig53225, whole genome shotgun sequence.
UGUUCUGUGGCUUAGGUGGUUAAAGCGCCGAUCUAGCGAAUACGUCGUGGGUUCGAAUCCCGCCAGAAUGC